ensembl:lncRNA
GGGUGGAGGAGCGAAGGAGAGAUUGUGAAGUGCGCUCCCAGACCUCAUCCGGCAACACACUCACACACGCGCCACAUGCGCAGACGCGCACACACACACACACACGCACACACAGAUCUCCAGACUGCUUCUGUCUGAGCACUACAUACACACACAGACAGCUCCAGUACCUUGUUAACGGAGAUUCUAACACAAACACACAAACGCACACUCACACAGACACACACAAGCGCACACCCACAGAUAGAAGCCAGGAGCGGGGCAUCUGUAAGCGUAGCGAAGGGGAGCCGACUAGAAACACAGAACAACUGCAUCCUCUUUCUUCCUCUUCCUCUUCAUCACCACUUCAACUGCCACCGCCACCACUGCUGCUGCUGCUGCCGUGGCAACUGGAACGGAACUCACACUGACUCCUGCAUCAACAGUGAGAGCAAAGGGGUGACACCAGGCGAAGAGGAAGAAACGCAAAAGAAACGAAGAAGGAUUUUUUGCAUUUCUUCACCCGUCCGAAGACGUCCCACCAGCCGCCGGGAGCUCUGGCUGGAGGUGUUCCUAGGUGAGAGGGAGAGACAGAGAGGAGGGGAGAGCCAGGUCGCGGUGCGUCCCCCACGACGUG